ACAAAAAAAGAGAGUCAUGUUAGAAGCAUCUGUAAAGGAGGAUCACUGUCACUUCACGCUCCUCACAGCAGGUCUUCUGCUGAGUCGCUGUUGGUGAAAAUAGAUGAUCCCGGUGAGCUCAUCAGCGCCACCUGUCUGUGGCCCAGACUGAGAUGAACCCGUUUCUAUGAAACCACACUGAUAUUUAACAAGGAGACAACUCCUGUUCUCCAUCCCAACACCCAAUCACACACCUGCAGGUCAUGACCACAACCACUGAAGACAGCAGGGUUGAACUUCUGACAGAUCAACCAAAAACUGUCUUCAUGCUGUCAGAGACCUGAUGAAGGGUCAGGGGAAUAAAUCAUGUUCAAAAUGACCAAAACAAAAGAUCAGGCACGUUUUAUUUUGCUUCAUGUUUAAAUGAAAGGUGCAUUGAUGGAUUACUAGUUCAUUCCUUCAAUCUUAACGACCAGUUUCCCAGAAUAGCCAUUUUUCAGACUGUAAACUCAUCAUUUUACAUCAUAAGUCAUCCAGAGGAGGUUUGCACCUUUAACCCCUUAACUGCCACCCCCAAAACACUUCAACCUUAUCCAAAGGGCACAUGAGGACACUGCCAUUCCCAACCAAUGGAACCAAUGCAGCCUUAAAAUGUCCCAAGAUGACAUUCUUUCCAAUGACCAGCAGGGGGAAUAUGUAGACUGCUAAGAAUCUCUGACAGUCUACAUCCCCAAAGUAGGUCCUUGAGGUCCGGCAUCCUGCGUGUUUAAGUUCUCUCCCUGGUUUAACGCACCUGGAUCCAAUGAUGGCUCAUUAGAAGGCCUAAGAAGAUCACUGACCCGAUGAGACGGUUGUUACUGCCACCACGGAGAGAACUAAAACGUGUAGGAUGCCGGCCCUCGAGGACCAACUUUGGGGACCCCUGGUCUACAUACUGGUCAUACUGGUGGAUCCUGCUAUGAUUCCACCUUCUGCGCUUACAACCAAUGCAAAGUCCUAACAGGAGCUCCACCAACAUGGAGCCACAGUCACGAUGGUGUUGUAACCUAAACAUGAGACCAGUGAGGCCAGUUCACCACAGCUUUAUCUUCCCAGGUCAGAAGCUCCUCUAGAAAGUUCUGGAUCUACCUACUAGAUCUGUCUUAGUCAGAUGAACCAAACAUCCAGGUGAUGUGAACCAUUCUCCUCUGCAGAGGAGGAAGUGUUUGAAGGGCUGAUUCCACUAACUAAAGACCGCCUCUGCAUACUGAGCUCCAUCCAGAAAUGAUGACAUCAUGAUAUGAAACCACUAUGUAACCCAGGUGGCCGCCAUGACCCAAUCACCUUCCCUUUAAGUUGAUUGUCAUGUGUGCUUCCAGGUUUUGUUUUUUCUUCCCCACCUUGCUGCUGCUCACUGUUGGUUGUUUAUAAAACAACCUGGAGUUUCUGAAUCGACUCAUCACUCAUUUAAUCUCUAAAACUUGAAGAUUGCGGUUGUGAUCCAUUGAGAGCUGGUGAACCUUCCUGUUUUGAGCAAGUUAUCAUUGCAUCCACCUCCUCAGAUAAUCCGUUACUCGACGGUCAGGUUUUUUUUUCCGCCUUUGCCGUCGCAUUGACUCACUUGAUGACGGAAGAUGGCGAGCUACUCACCCACCAUCUGGUGGUAGGAAAACGGAACUACACUUUCCCUACAGAAACGAACUAAACUCUGAGUAUUGAAAAGGGAACAUAAUUAUUCUCUUUUUGUUCUUGGAUCUAUUGUGGACUCUAUUACGUUUGAAGUAUCACUGAUUAUUAUUAUAAUUGUUUUUGUUGGUUUGUUUUUUUCCCCUUCUGUUUUUUUGGAAAUUUAUUGUUUUGUUGUUUUGGUAUUAUUAUUAUUAUUAUUAUUAUUAUUAUCAUUGCCACUGCAAUAAAUAGCAAUAUUAACAAACUUUACUUUUUUGUAUCAGUUGUAUUAAUUAUUCACCCCACUCAUGACUCCGUGCCGUACCUACUUCUGAUUAUACAAACUGGUUAACCCUACACCUCGCAGUCAGAUCUGCUCAGUUGAGAAAAGCGCUACAACUAGAACCUGAUUAGAAUCUCUCAGCCAUAGUGAGGAGCUCACUCUGUUUUUGAUAGCAAAGAUAACGUCCAUUAAACCCAAGUAUGCACUCUGAUGUUACCUGUUUGUAAAACAGGGUUGGAGGCAGUAUGCUGUUUCACCAUCACUAUCUUUUGUCAGUAGCUUUAGUUGGGGAUGGCUGACUUCACUGUGGGUAGAGACCCAACAGCCACAUGAGGAAGGUGCAGAGUCUUCAUGGAGCAUAGAAAAGCUCCUUCUGUCCUUUACCUAGUUUCCAGUAGGAACAUGGCUUCCCACUGGAAACGAGACACAGUGUUCUUCUUUAUAGUGGCAUUUAUUCAGACUCAUUUCUCAUGAUAUCAGUGCAGCCUUUGCUGAGCAUGUCUGAAUGACACACAGAGAUCAGGAGCACCAUCAGGUUUCAUCUCCACUAGCUGCACUAAGGUGCUCUGAGCAGGUUCUCGUUUAUCAGCCAUUCUUGGCUGCAGAAAGAAGCAAAGCCA